CGUUAGCUCAGUUGGUAGAGCAUCUGACUUUUAAUCAGGUGGUCGCAGGUUCGAUCCCUGCACGGC
rnacentral:tRNA from 1 species